GAGAAGCAUUGUGGUUCCGAUUUAUAAAAAAAAAGACGUAAUAUUCAGAGUUGCAAUAAUUAUAGAGGCAUAAAACUAAUGAGUCAUACUAUGAAAUAAGGGAGAGAGUUAUUGAAACUCGCCUAAGACAA